rnacentral:rRNA from 1 species
AUUGAACGCUGGCGGCGUGCCUAACACAUGCAAGUCGAGCGGUAACAGGUGUAGCAAUACAUGCUGACGAGCGGCGAACGGGUGAGUAAUGCUUCGGAAUCUACCCAAUGGUGGGGAAUAACCAGCCGAAAGGUUGGCUAAUACCGCAUACGUCCCACGGGAGAAAGCAGGGGAUCGCAAGACCUUGCGCCAAUGGAUGAGCCGAAGUCGGAUUAGCUAGUUGGAGGGUAACGGCCUACCAAGGCGACGAUCCGUAGCUGGUCUGAGAGGACGACCAGCCACACUGGGACUGAGACACGGCCCAGACUCCUACGGGAGGCAGCAGUGGGGAAUAUUGGACAAUGGGGGAAACCCUGAUCCAGCGACGCCGCGUGUGUGAAGAAGGCCUGCGGGUUGUAAAGCACUUUUAGUGGGAUGAAAUGUUCAGGGUUAACACCUCUGGNUUUUGACCUAACCCACAGAAAAAGCACCGGCUAACUCUGUGCCAGCCGCCG